rnacentral:rRNA from 1 species
GGCUGCAAUCGUCUCAUUAUCAAUUUUGAUAAUAUGGAAGUCAUUGGCACAAUGAAGAAUGGAGGACAGAGUGGCGGCUGCAAUUUUUGAGGACUAUUUUUUAUGGCAUGUGAUUUUCCUCACACCAGCUUUGAACAUUGUAGUAGAGAAGCGAAUAAAGUAGCUGAUGAGCUUGCUAGAUUAGCAAAAUGUUCCAUGACUAGGGAUUGGAUAGAGGAGCCCAUGGAAAAUCUUGUAACUCUCCUUAUAGACGAUGUAACCAUUAUUUCUAAUUAA